CCUUUUUCGGAAGGUAUGCUUAAAGAGGGGCUUGCGUCACAUUAGUUAGUUGGCAGGGUAAAGGCCUACCAAGACUAUGAUGUGUAGCUGGACUGAGAGGUUGAACAGCCACAUUGGGACUGAGACACGGCCCAAACUCCUACGGGAGGCAGCAGUAGGGAAUUUUCGGCAAUGGAGGAAACUCUGACCGAGCAACGCCGCGUGAACGAUGAAGUAUUUCGGUAUGUAAAGUUCUUUUAUUGAAGAAGAAAAAAUAGUGGAAAAACUAUCUUGACGAUAUUCAAUGAAUAAGCCCCGGCAAACUAUGUGCCAGCAGCCGCGGUAAUACAUAGGGGGCGAGCGUUAUCCGGAAUUAUUGGGCGUAAAGGGUGCGUAGGCGGUUUAAUAAGUCUAUAGUUUAAUUUCAGUGCUUAACACUGUCCUGCUAUAGAAACUAUUAGACUAGAGUGAGAUAGAGGCAAGUGGAAUUCCAUGUGUAGCGGUAAAAUGCGUAAAUAUAUGGAGGAACACCAGAGGCGUAGGCGGCUUGCUGGGUCUUUACUGACGCUGAGGCACGAAAGCGUGGGGAGCAAACAGGAUUAGAUACCCUGGUAGUCCACGCCGUAAACGAUGAGUACUAAGUGUCGGGAUUACUCGGUACUGAAGUUAACACAUUAAGUACUCCGCCUGAGUAGUACGUACGCAAGUAUGAAACUUAAAGGAAUUGACGGGACUCCGCACAAGCGGUGGAUCAUGUUGUUUAAUUCGAAGAUACACGAAAAACCUUACCAGGUCUUGACAUACUCUGCAAAGCUAUAGCAAUAUAGUGGAGGUUAUCAGGGAUACAGGUGGUGCAUGGUUGUCGUCAGCUCGUGUCGUGAGAUGUUAGGUUAAGUCCUAAAACGAGCGCAACCCUUGUCAUUAGUUGCCAGCAUGUCAUGAUGGGCACUUUAAUGAGACUGCCAAUGAAAAAUUGGAGGAAGGUGAGGAUCACGUCAAAUCAUCAUGCCCCUUAUGAUCUGGGCUACAAACGUGAUACAAUGGCUGUUACAAAGAGUAGCUGAAACGCAAGUUUAUAGCCAAUCUCAUAAAAGCAGUCUCAGUUCUGGAUUGAAGUCUGCAACUCGACUUCAUGAAGUUG
rnacentral:rRNA from 1 species